GGCGGGCGCGCGGCCCUCGCUGCGACGGAUCCCGCCAAGAGCGCCGGGGGCCGCUGCCCGCGGGCAGGCCGCGCCGCCUCCCGCCUGGGGCUGCCCUCCGGCUCCGGGGCGCGGCGGGGCCUCCCGAGCCCAUCCCCCGCCGGGGCUCGAGGCGAAAACCGGCGCUGGGGGCGGGAGGGCCCUGCUGGAACCUCCGCCGGCGUGCUCUCGGCGGCCUGCCGCCUCUGACACUACGCACUUUGCUGCGGGUGGGGACGUUCUUGCCUGCCUGAGAGCCUGAGCUGGCGUUUUUAGACUGUGAAAUUGGCGAGAAGGGAUGAUUGAGUGUCUGUGUCUUCUUGGGCCAAUUUGCAGUGCGUUUUAUGUUAGUUGGUGGAGGUGGGAUUUGUUUCUGAUUCUUUUUUUCUGCCCGUCAAGUCUCUAGAUUCUAGAAAUGAUGAAAUCGCAGGGUUUUAAGGAGCAAAGAGAGAAGAAAAUUUAGGUUACGACUAAUAGAAACAAAGCUCUUGAAAAAUGUCAGUUGUUUCCUGUUCCCUGAGUUGGCUGUGUAAGUGCUUUGGAAAACCAAGGAGUCCUCCUGGCGUUCUGUGAAUGGGGCCAUGUGGGAUGAUCAAUACUGUUUUCACUGGGCUAUCUAUGGUAAGUGUGCUUUACUGUUAAGUCAGACUGGCUUCUCUGGCCAUGGCUUGAUGUAAGCAGCCUAAGUAUCUAAAAAUGAAGUUUCUUAAGUUUGCGAUUGGGACUAGGUGAACUAGUUGGUCAUUGGAGGGAAAUAGAUUCUUUAGAACUGGAAGGAACUUAAUGAGCCACCAUAUCCCAACAAAUACUUGUGGUUGAGGUUUUUCUUUUAAUGGUUAGCAAUUCAGCUGAACAGCUAGUAAAGUCAAUGCAUGUGAAGUAAAUACUCUUCUUUGAAAAAUAUUUUUUUGCUAAAUGUUUUGUUUAACCAUUCUAGAUAUCAUCAGUAUGACUUGAAGAUGACGCUGCAUGCUUAUGACUCAAAAUACUGUUGUUCAGCAGAAUAACAAUUAAUACUGGGGUACGAGAACACGUUAUAAAGAGAAUGCCAGAUGGCUAUUCCAGCCAAACAGCAGCAGAUGAUAUAGUAAAUGUCAGAAAAACAACUGCAUACCUUAAUGGUCCUUCAAAAAAUGAAUAGUUCUUCCUUCAGUUUCCUCCAUACUAUUAAGGACAUAGUGGAGAGGUUGGUACUUCUAGUAAGAAGCUCCUUCAGAGAACCAGCACUCUAGAAAGCGGAUAUGUAAUGCAAAGGAAUUGUUCUGUAUUACUUGUUUUAAGAAACAGUAGUUAGGUUCCUGAUGCAAAUAUCUGCCCACUUACAAUUAAACUAAUUCUCACUAUCAAAAUCAUAACUAGCUGCUGAGCUUUAAUGCUGGACCACUUUUAUUUUUGACGGAAAAAAGCAAAGAUAUGUUGUGAGAUUCUGUCACAGCUUCUGAGUGUAAACACUGAAAUUAAAAACGGUAUAGAAGCAUUUCUAGUGUUUUUAAAAGCACUCUAAGUGUUCUAUUAAUUUCUCUUUCUGUCUUUGUAUUAUUUUUUUUUUCCAGAUUU